GGAGGUGGAGGCCGUGGAGCAUUUUGUCCAUACCAUAUCGUUGUAGCUGCAGUGCAUGUAACCUGCAUAUCAUGUGUGACAGUGUAGAAACGAGGGGGAAAAUGGGACUGGUGGAAUUUGUUUAUCAAUUCAAAAGCUGGACAUGGUAAGAGAGUUCAAUUUUCUCUUUAUUAUAUAUUCUCUUUAGACUUUACACAUUUUACUGGUUGGAG
rnacentral:lncRNA from 1 species